rnacentral:ncRNA from 18 species
UUCCAUUAUAAUAAUCAGAAUUUACUCUGUACGCAAAGUAAAUGUAAAAAAGGGAAAUCCAGAGCUUCAUCCAGUUCUCUAAAAGAGACAAAAAGAAAGUGAGUUUAUUGCUGAGUAGUUAAAUCAAAAAGCAGUAAACUCU